CCUACGGGAGGCAGCAGUAGGGAAUCUUCCGCAAUGGACGAAAGUCUGACGGAGCAACGCCGCGUGAACGAUGAAGGCCUUCGGGUCGUAAAGUUCUGUUGUUAGGGAAGAACAAGUGCUAGUUAAAUAAGCUGGCACCUUGACGGUACCUAACCAGAAAGCCACGGCUAACUACGUGCCAGCAGCCGCGGUAAUACGUAGGUGGCAAGCGUUGUCCGGAAUUAUUGGGCGUAAAGCGCGCGCAGGCGGUUUCUUAAGUCUGAUGUGAAAGCCCCCGGCUCAACCGGGGAGGGUCAUUGGAAACUGGGAAACUUGAGUGCAGAAGAGGAAAGUGGAAUUCCAAGUGUAGCGGUGAAAUGCGUAGAGAUUUGGAGGAACACCAGUGGCGAAGGCGACUUUCUGGUCUGUAACUGACGCUGAGGCGCGAAAGCGUGGGGAGCAAACAGGAUUAGAUACCCUGGUAGUCCACGCUGUAAACGAUGAGUGCUAAGUGUUAGAGGGUUUCCGCCCUUUAGUGCUGAAGUUAACGCAUUAAGCACUCCGCCUGGGGAGUACGGUCGCGAAGACUGAAACCUUAAGAAAGUAGUUAGCGUGNGAGNGCGACGACGACGACGAGGAGGAGG
rnacentral:rRNA from 1 species